UCAGGCCUAACACAUGCAAGUCGAACGGCAGCGCGGGUGCUUGCACCUGGCGGCGAGUGGCGAACGGGUGAGUAAUAUAUCGGAACGUGCCCUAGAGUGGGGGAUAACUAGUCGAAAGAUUAGCUAAUACCGCAUACGAUCUACGGAUGAAAGUGGGGGAUCGCAAGACCUCAUGCUCCUGGAGCGGCCGAUAUCUGAUUAGCUAGUUGGUGGGGUAAAAGCCUACCAAGGCGACGAUCAGUAGCUGGUCUGAGAGGACGACCAGCCACACUGGGACUGAGACACGGCCCAGACUCCUACGGGAGGCAGAAGUGGGGAAUUUUGGACAAUGGGGGCAACCCUGAUCCAGCAAUGCCGCGUGUGUGAAGAAGGCCUUCGGUUGUAAAGCACUUUUGUCAGGGACGAAACGGUGGGGGCUAAUAUCC
rnacentral:rRNA from 1 species